CUCUCACUCACUGUCGUGCUCUCUCUCUCUCUCUCUCACUCACUGUCGUUCUCGCUCGCUCUCUCUCUCUUUUUCUCUGUCCCCCUGUCUUUUUCUCCCUCUCUCUUAUGGUCUCUAUCAUACACCAGUUGUGGAUGAAGGAGUGCUGGAUUUUUUUGGCUGUAAAUGUUUCCAGUCUCAGAUCAGGUGAAUGUGACUGCAAUGGACAAGCGAAUGGAAAUAACCCACAGAUAAGUGUGUGUGUGUGUGUGUUGGGAUCAUUGGCAUAGGUGGCGUGAAAACAUUUGCAUUUGGCUUCUUAUCAGAAAAGGGGGUUUCAUGAGCUGUUUUUGUUUUCACUCUGUUUUGUUUAUCUGUUUUUUAUCUCUUCUGCAUGGUUUCUCUCUCUCUCUCACACGCAUGCACGCACACACACGCACACACACACGCACUCACACAGCUCAUGUUGACCCUCCAGACCUGAUGAAACUGGCCCUUCUCUCCACAUGCAGUGAUUGUGUCCCAUGAUCACACACACACACACACACAAUUCUUUAGUCACCGUCAUUCCUAAAGGCCUGUUUUAUCUGUGAGUACACCACUACCUCUGGCCCCUUCCUCUCGCUCCCUCUCUUUUCACUCAUCUGUCACUUCUCUCUCUCUCUCUCUCUCUCUCGCUCUACACAUUCCUCUGACAUGAGGCACGGCCCUGGCACAGCGGUUUGGUUCUGUUCCACGUCAGAUCAUUUAAGCAUGCCUCCAGACCGUCCACACUCCUGAGUCACACGCGGAUAUUUAGCUCGUGAAAGUCUGACACUCGUCUGAUUCAGGCCACAAGUUCGCUCGACAUUUCCUCCGUGUUUUUGAAUCAUGCGAGGCGGUUGCGCAAUAAUCGGUGGCGGCGUCUCACGGUUCAGAUCGACUUCAGCUGCACUGACCCCAGUGCCUGAGGAGAGACGGAUCGAGGCGGCGGCUUUUCGCUUCAGAGUCUUUGUUUCCUGCGGAUCAUUUCCAUACGCCUCGCCUCCGAGGAAGAUUUGCAUGCGUCCGGUUUUGCCUAAACCGUUGUGAAGAACAGGGCGUGUCCGUCGUUUUUAUGAAUGAAAGAUGAACAGGACUCGGCUGUGACCGCCCGCUCACCUGCUCUCAGAAUCUCUCUUUAUUCUGACUCUGUUUUGAGGACGCUGUUGCUUCAGGCUCGCUGUAGAUCAGGGGAUUCCCCGACACACACCCUCUCAGGGCAGAUGAUCUAAGACUGCUGAAAACUGCUGAUUUAACUCUUUAUUCUUCAUCUUUACACCAAAAGUACACUCUAGAUAAUUAUUUAUAGAUCCACAGAAAAAUGAUAGAACCCCUAAUGUCACUUCUUAUAGCCUUUUUUUUUUUAGAGAGAGACUGUGCGAGUGACACACGGCAGACGGGGUGGGGGGGCGGAGUGUGUGUAUGAGAGAGACUGUGUUUGUAUGAGAGAGAGAGAGAGAUUUGACAAGGGAGAGAGACUUUGUGUGAGAGAGAGACUGAGAGACUAUGAGGUUUCAUUUGGGAGAGACUGAGAUUUCAUGAGAGGGAGUGUGUGUGUAUAUAUGAGGGUGAGAGAGACUGUGUGAGACUUAGUGUGUGUGCUUGUGAGAGACUGUUUGAGGCUGUCUGUAUGAGGGUGUGAGAGACUGUGUGUGUAUGAGGGUGUGAGAGGUGAGACACUGUGUGAGAGACUGAGUGAGGGAGACUGAGAGAGAGGUGAGUGAGAGACACUGGGCGUGAGGGAGACAGAGAGAGAGGUGAGUGAGAGACACUGGGCGUGAGGGAGACAGAGAGAGGUGAGUGAGAGACACUGGGCGUGAGGGAGACUGAGACAGAGGUGAGUGAGAGACACUGGGCGUGAGGGAGACUGAGACAGAGGUGAGUGAGAGACACUGGGCGUGAGGGAGACUGAGACAGAGGUGAGUGAGAGACACUGGGCAUGAGGGAGACUGAGACAGAGGUGAGUGAGAGACACUGGGCGUGAGGGAGACUGAGAGAGAGGUGAGUGAGAGACACUGGGCGUGAGGGAGACUGAGACAGAGGUGAGUGAGAGACACUGGGCGUGAGGGAGACUGAGACAGAGGUGAGUGAGAGACACUGGGCGUGAGGGAGACAGAGAGAGGUGAGUGAGAGACACUGGGCGUGAGAGAGACAGAGAGAGGUGAGUGAGAGACACUGGGCGUGAGGGAGACAGAGAGAGGUGAGUGAGAGACACUGGGCGUGAGAGAGACAGAGAGAGGUGAGUGAGAGACACUGGGCGUGAGAGAGACAGAGAGAGGUGAGUGAGAGACACUGGGCGUGAGGGAGACUGAGAGAGAGGUGAGUGAGAGACACUGGGCGUGAGAGAGACAGAGAGAGGUGAGUGAGAGACACUGGGCGUGAGGGAGACUGAGACAGAGGUGAGUGAGAGACACUGGGCGUGAGGGAGACUGAGACAGAGGUGAGUGAGAGACACUGGGCGUGAGGGAGACAGAGAGAGAGGUGAGUGAGAGACACUGGGCGUGAGGGAGACAGAGAGAGAGGUGAGUGAGAGACACUGG